UACGUAGGGUGCGAGCGUUGUCCGGAAUUAUUGGGCGUAAAGGGCUCGUAGGCGGUUUGUCACGUCGGGAGUGAAAACUCGGGGCUUAACCCCGAGCCUGCUUCCGAUACGGGCAGACUAGAGGUAUGCAGGGGAGAACGGAAUUCCUGGUGUAGCGGUGAAAUGCGCAGAUAUCAGGAGGAACACCAAUGGCGAAGGCAGCUCUCUGGGACGGUACUGACGCUGAGACGCGAAAGCGUGGGGAGCGAACAGG
rnacentral:rRNA from 1 species